AGCACUAUAUUUAAACCUGUGGAUGGGAAUUUUCCCCAUUCUUGGUUACGCUGUAGUGCAAAAAGAAUUCCUGGCUCCUUCUUGCACAGCUGACUUGUGUUAUUUGGCUGUUGCUUUAUGGAGUUAAGGAACAUAA